rnacentral:lncRNA from 1 species
CUGAUAACAUUGAAGGGUAUGGCGCAGUGCAGGAUCUGGCUGAUUACUUGGCUGGACUAAGAGACCACCGUCUUGCGCUGACUCAGGAGGAAUGUAGUCAGGUCAUUGCUCUGUGGCAGGAACUGGGGGAGUAUGACAAAAAAAAAACUGUCUAACCAGCUCGACACCAGACCAGCCUGAGCAAGGGACGAUUCCGGGCUACGAAGAAGAUUGUGGCUCCAGGUGUGGAGAGCACCAAAAGGUCUUUCAUCGGGGCUCACAGUCCUGCACAGUGGCCCGACUGCAACAGAGUGGUUGAGGCGAUCUUUGUCAAGCUUUUUGCCAUCUACCCGAGCACUGUGCGCUGUGAGGGAAAGAAGCUGUCAAGAUACACUGUGGUGAUACGCACGUACAAAAACAUCAGGGAGUGCGUAGUCACAAACGCCAGGCUGAUGAGCGAGACCACUAUACAGCUGCCUGAAGUAAAUGCUGCAACAGUUUCACAGUGGUACUGCAGGCGGUGAAAGGCACAGGACCAGGAUAUUUUAAAGCAGGGUC